rnacentral:rRNA from 1 species
AUUGAACGCUGGCGGCAUGCCUUACACAUGCAAGUCGAACGGCAGCGCGGGAGCAAUCCUGGCGGCGAGUGGCGAACGGGUGAGUAAUAUAUCGGAACGUGCCCAAGAGUGGGGGAUAGCCCGGCGAAAGCCGGAUUAAUACCGCAUACGCCCUAAGGGGGAAAGUGGGGGACCGCAAGGCCUCACGCUCGUGGAGCGGCCGAUAUCUGAUUAGCUAGUUGGUGGGGUAAGAGCCUACCAAGGCGACGAUCAGUAGCUGGUCUGAGAGGACGACCAGCCACACUGGGACUGAGACACGGCCCAGACUCCUACGGGAGGCAGCAGUGGGGAAUUUUGGACAAUGGGGCAACCCUGAUCCAGCAAUGCCGCGUGUGUGAAGUAGGCCUUCGGGUUGUAAAGCACUUUUGUCCGGAAAGAAAUCCCCUGGGAUAAUACCCCAGGGGGAUGACGGUACCGGAAGAAUAAGCACCGGCUAACUACGUGCCAGCAGCAGCCGCAGUAA